rnacentral:misc_RNA from 1 species
UGCUUAGUUCCAGAAAAGAAGGAAAGCAGUCAGAAGCGGCAAGCGGUACGCAUAGAACAGCACACACACACACGCACACACAAGCACGCACGAGUUUCAUACAAGCAGUGACACAAGGAGAUAAGACGCGUUGCCGGCCGUCAUGCAACGCAAGCGUCGGCUCACCGUGCAGCCCGUCGAUGCGGCUCGCUUCUGCGGAGACAACAACGGCGCGGUGGUGUCGUUCUUGAACGGUAUGAACCACCCCGUCGUCGCCAACCCUGCCCCGAUGGCUGAGGGCGAACAACUGCCCCUGCCGUCACGUGUGUUGGUGCACGCGUACGCGGGUGCGCAGCUGACUGACGCAGCCGUGAGGACCCAGGAAGAAUUUGUCGAGGAAGCAGCCGUGAACUCUGCUGCCGUUGUGGCCUGCCGCGUGACGCCGCUGCGAGCCUCGAGGGCAAACACGGGGACUAACUACCCUGUGCGCACAGAGGGGCCCACGAAAAUCGUCUUCUUCUCCGGCUGCCAGCGGCUGGCUGAGGUGGGCAUCGAUGACGGGGUCGCGACUAGAUCUUCGCCCCCUAUGCAGCUGCCCUGGUGUCCCAUGCAGUGCUUCCGCGUUGAAUCUGAAGACUCCGUCAAGGGCUUAGUGGCGCUGGACAUGGCUGCUUUCCUGAAAGAUACGCAUACUCUCUGCGCCUGCACUCCACAGCUUGGCAAGCUGCAGACGCUGCGCUUCGAAGAGAGCACGAUCUGCUGCCUGGGCCCCGGUCGUGCUGGUCACGCCGAGGUGACUGUCAUACUCGGCAACGGGGUAGCGGCGGUGUGCGGUGUGCAGCGAGCGGCUCCGGCGCCUGCAAGGGUUACUGCUGAAGCGUAUGCUGAGGUGGCGGCAGCGCCGUCGGCCUCGAGGGCAGCUCGACAAACCUUCCUCGCGGCGAAUGAGGGUAGUGACAUGCACGUGCUACACACUCUUCAGCUCCCUUUUCACGCAUCGCCGUCUGCAGCCCCGCUGCGUGUGGCCUGGACCGGCGCGACUGUACUGUGGGUGGUGUACUCAGACGGCUCUGUCGUGGCGGUGCAGUGCGGUGAGAGUAAAGGCAUCGGAAGUGGCGUCGAGGGCAACGAGGAACUGCAGCAGCCGUCACAAGGGUUGGCAGGCGCCAGCAGUGCAAGCCAAGCGCGGAGCUCCACGUUCACGACGCAUGUGGCGGAGACCCAGCUGAUGCCCACCUGGGCACAAAACGGGGACAGCAACAAUGCAUCCAUGGUGCAGGUGCAGAUCCACGCCGACCCGCGUGCGCCGGUGCUUCACUUUGCCUUUACGACAGCGGACGCCGGCAGCGCAGAGCAGCAGCAGCAGCUGCUGCUGCAUUACGGUACGGUGCGCCUGCAGGGCGCGCCGCCCGCCGCGCAGUUGCACUGGCGGCAGCAUCAAGUCUGCUACGCCGAGCAGCUCUACGGCGUGCGCUGUGAGCGAGGUCAAUUUCACAUUCUCUCACAAAGCGCACGCGGCGCCGGGCCCCUGUACGUGGCGACCCUUCUCAAAGACGGACCCGCUGCGUCCUCUGCCGCGGCGGGCGCUGCAUCAGUCGCGCCGUCCUUGGCGAUCACAAUCAUGCAAUGCGCCGAAAGCGAGCUGAGCAGUCACUGUCGUAGCUGCGAAGCUCUGCUAAAGGAGCUGCGGGCCUCCGCUCAGCAGCUCAGAUGCGAGAAGGAUGCCGCGUUGCUACUGCAUCGACUCAUGCAGGUGCAGCACGCCCUCUACGCUCUCCUGACCCGGCAGCAGCAGUCUGCGAGUGUGACCGACUUGGCAGCCAGUGAGAGCCUGCCGUACCGACUGCUGCAGCGCGCUGCGCAGGUGUCCCGGGAGCACGCUGCGUACGCCCUGUUUGUGCACCUUGGCAUCAUGCACACCAUAUCGAAGCCAUUGAAAGACGUUCUUGGGUUCAGCGAGGCGACAGCGAGGGUCGAGGCGGCGCAGGCGCAGUGGAAGUCGCUGCUCCACGACACAUUCCGUCGCAAAAGCGUCUAUCAGAGCUCCGUUGCGGAACUCGCGAUGUGGCAAUCGGCAACACCGCUCUGCAUCGAGGUGCUGCUCGAUAAGCUGGGCCUGCCAGCUGCCGAUGCGUCGUUCACCAUGGCGUCGGCGCUCGCUAGCAUGGACACUGUCACCCCCGAAGUGGCGCUCUUCAUCCUCUACUACAGCUACGUGGGCUUAGAGCAUUCGGCUGAUGCGAGUGGCGCACAGGCGCUGCCAUCGAUGACAGAGCAGCAGCAGCAGCGCCAGUGGCGCGAGUCGUUUCUGCUCUUGUUCGGCAUGCCGGUGGACUUGAACACGUGGGCCUUCACGUGCUACGCGGUCGAUCACGGGGUCAACCCUGCGGAGGCGGCCGAAGCAGAGCAGAAGAAGUCGUUGCUCUACGCGAUGGGGCCCGCGGUGCAGCACCUCGGUGCGCCUCCGUUUGUAAGGCUGCUGGCGCCUGUCGUGAACGGUCUCGCCCACGUUGCCGCGCUGGAUGUCUUGCUUCGGCUGAUCCCGACAUGCAUUACGGUGUACACCAGCGCCGCCGAGGACGUUCCGGUCGCGAUGGCGAUGAGGCUCCUCUGCGUGGCCGUGCGCGCUGGCUCGUCGCGCAUGAUUGAGGCCCUGUACGAAGUGAUGCGUGGCUCUGCAGAGCUGAUGCACCUGGCGGCACAGCCGUUGGCCUACGCGGCGCUUCACGCGGGCAGCGUGUCGGCGAUGCGCGGGUGGGUGGAGGUUGGGAGCCCGGCGGCGGACACGAUCGAGCGCACGCUGCAGACUGCGGAGGGGGCUCACCAGCGCGAGGCCGUGCUCAUCUCCUUCUACAUUCUUCUCCAGCGGUACGAGGAUGCGCUGCAGGUGUGCAGCUCCGCCACUCCCGCCGACGCGACGCAAGCACAGCGUCUUCAGGUGGUUCUAUCGUAUCUGCGUAGUCUACUGUCCGCCUCGUCGAAGGCGUGGGGAGAGCAGAAGAUGGCAGUGGUAGCCGACGUCGACCCUCAUCUGCCCGUGGAUGAGGCCUCUGCGUUGCCGCUCUGGCGACCCGAAACGCUGUCAGCUCCGCUGCUGCAGGUAAGCUCCGGCGACUUGGCAGAGCAGCUGGGGAGGAUCGUCUCAUCUGCGGGGGAGCGCGGAGGCCACAGCGGAGCGGCGGUAGCGGCACUUCGCGGAGCCGCUAGCGCCGGCGGUGCGACGACCGCGACUGCCUCUGGGGCUCUCGGUGAAGCCGGCGCUGCGUACCACUACUCGUACAGGGCUACAGGGGAGGGCUUACAGACUCAUGCGCGACCGCCGCUGUUUCGCCCUUCGACGCUGCUCUCCUCUGUCGAGAGAGGAUCGGGGGCUGGCAGCAGUGCAGCCUCGUCUUCGUCAUCGCCGCCCGCGGGUGGUAGUGCUGCUACUACUGCAGGCCAGUACUAGAGUUGGAAGGGCACUAUCUAACGGUGAUGCACAACGCUUAUCUGAAAGCGCGGAUGCUAUCCACAGCAAGAGGCGCUGCCGACGUUGACCCGCAUCGGGAAGGGGGAGGCCCGCUGAUGGGUGGAGGAGAGGAGGAAGGAUUGUCAUCGCCAGCGUUGCUGGCGCCCCAUUUUCUUCGGUUUCAGAGCUAUCGAGAUACACUCGUGUGCCGUUUUGAGUGAUCCGCCAGAUCGGCUUGCGCUGGUGUCUGUGAGCGGGGGUCGGUUGCUACGUGUCAAGAGGAUGGCUGUCAAACCAAUGGAUUGCCUUCCCCAUUCGUUUCCAGAGACACAGGCGUGGCCGGCGCACUCAUCUUAUCGUCCGCCUCUAGCUACAGGUGGAUGUAACUAACACCCAAGAAACAUUAAAGCGGCACAGUUCUGGAUGCGGAGGCAACUAUAGCGACAGGCCAGGCACCUUUCCUUGGAUAGAGUGUGUGUCUAGCGUAGGGUGCGUCAGUAGCGGCAAGGGCGAUGGACGUGUACGCCCCCGUCAUCCCGCUGUGGGAGGUGGUGUGUGUGCGUGCCACAUUGUGCACCUGAGAGCCUUCGGGAUGUGAAUGGGAAGAGGGGUGGGAGAGAGGGGCGUUUUGGCAUGGAGGCGGGGGCGUGAAGGAAAGGGUCUUUCUGCUAACGACGCAAUGCAUUUUGCGCCGUGCCAGCCCAUGCGCGCUGCGGGUGACUGUGCUACCCCUUUUCAGCGUGUCUUCGCAUCUGUGCGUGCGUGCGGCUGAACACCUUUCACCUCCCUCUUUCCUGAGUCCUUCUCUUUGCCUUUUUGCGAGUUCCCCCUUUUCGGCAGCGUCUUGCCUCUCUCUCUCUCUGCCGCCCUGACGCUUCUCCGUUUCUCCGCGUCUGUUCCCUGCUUCACCCCACCUCUCGCUUCCUUCUACUCGCAUGGUAAGGGUCUUGCCGUUCGUUGGCUCAUUUCUCCGGAGCGUCGUUGCAGCACGCCCUUGUCGAGAAGAGCUUCCUCUUACGUUGUUGGUUUCUCAUUCCCUGUGCUGCACCCACCACUCCUCCUUGCCCCACUCCUGUUCCUCCUUUUUGCCCUAUCGUGCCUCCUUCCAAAGCCUACUUCCCCCCCCCCCCACGCUCACGCACAGGUCUAUGUUUAUACUUAUUUCCUUAUUCCUACGCAACCCAACAUCGGUGCACUCCCCUGCUGUCAUCACCAUCCACCACACUUCCCUCUUCUCCCCAC